rnacentral:rRNA from 1 species
AUGCGGCAGCUUCGGCUCAUCACCAACAUGAGGGCUCAUAAUGACACGUGGUUUGCAGAUUAUUUGCUAAGGGUCGGCAAUGGCACUGAGGAUGUCGACGAUCAAGGCAACAUACUACUCCCUGAAGACAUUUGUCUAUCGUCUUCAGGCGAGGUUGAAGACCUGGAGAAGCUUAUUGACCACGUGUUCCUGAGUCUAGAUGACAACAUGUCUGAUUCAAAUUACAUGACAUCUCGAGUAAUCCUUUCCACUACAAACGACAAUGUAGACAAGAUAAACAUCUGCAUGAUAGAGCAUUUUCAUGGAGAUGAAGUAAUCUACCAUAGCUUUGACAGUGCGGAGGACGACCCGUAUGGCUACUACGCUCAGGAGUUUCUGAAUGGAUUGACUCCUAACGGUCUUCCUCCGCAUGCACUCAAGCUAAAGUUGAACUGGCCUGUCAUACUGCUAAGGAACAUUGAUCCAGCUAAUGGAUUGUGUAACGGCACUAGGCUUGUUGUUAGAGGUUUUGAGAGGAACACCAUUGAUGCAGAAAUCGUGAUUGGACAACACGCUGGCAGGAGGGUCUUUCUUCCUCGAAUACCUCUCUGUCCAUCUGAAAAUGACAUGUUUCCGUUCAAGUUUAAGAGGAAGCAAUUUCCUAUAAGGCUUAGCUUUGCUAUGACCAUUAACAAGGCUCAAGGGCAAACCAUCCCGAUUGUUGGUGUCUACCUACCCAAUCCCGUGUUCUCUCAUGGUCAGCUCUAUGUUGCUUUGUCUCGAGCCACCGCGAAGAGAAACAUAAAGAUACUCAUUCAGAAGGAGAAGCCGAAGGAGAAGGCCAAGAAGCAAAGGGACAAUCCAAAGAAGCGAAAAAGAACGACCUUGUCCUUACUGACCUCGAUGAAGAACAUAGUCUACAAGGAAGUCCUUACUGGCUGA